rnacentral:rRNA from 1 species
AAGCCAUAUCACCCUGCAACUCACGACUGGCAACCCACUGAAGCUAAGCAGGUGUGAGCCUGGUCAGUACCUGGAUGGGAGACCUCCUGGGAAAAACUAAGGUUGCUAUAAUUA